GGUCCAGACUCCUACGGGAGGCAGCAGUGAGGAAUAUUGGGCAAUGGAGGAAACUCUGACCCAGCCAUGCCGCGUGAGUGAAGAAGGUUUUCGAAUUGUAAAGCUCUUUCGGAUGGGACGAUGAUGACGGUACCAUCUAAAGAAGCCCCGGCAAACUUCGUGCCAGCAGCCGCGGUAAUACGAAGGGGGCAAGCGUUGUUCGGAAUUACUGGGCGUAAAGGGUGUGUAGGCGGAUUUGUAAGAUAGUGGUGAAAUACCUGAGCUCAACUUAGGAAUUGCCAUUAUAACUAUAGAUCUGGAGUGACAGAGAGGAUAUUGGAAUACCCAGUGUAGAGGUGAAAUUCGUAGAUAUUGGGUAGAACACCAGUGGCGAAGGCGAGUAUCUGGCUGUCAACUGACGCUGAGGCACGAAAGCAUGGGGAUCAAACAGGAUUAGAUACCCUGGUAGUCCAUGCUGUAAACGAUGAAUGCUAGUUGUCGGCAAAAGCCGGUGACGCAGUUAACGCGAUAAGCAUUCCGCCUGGGGAGUACGGUCGCAAGAUUAAAACUCAAAGGAAUUGACGGGGACCCGCACAAGCGGUGGAGCAUGUGGUUUAAUUCGAUGCAACGCGAAGAACCUUACCAACUCUUGACAUCCUCAUCGGGGCUUUCAGAGAUGAGAGCUUUCAGUUAGGCUGGAUGAGUGACAGAUGCUGCAUGGCUGUCGUCAGCUCGUGUCGUGAGAUGUUGGGUUAAGUCCCGCAACGAGCGCAACCCCUGCUACCAGUUGCCAUCAAGUAAAGUUGGGCACUCUGGUGGGACUGCCGGUGACAACCCGGAGGAAGGUGGGGAUGACGUCAAGUCAUCAUGGCUCUUACGAGUUGGGCUACACACGUGCUACAAUGGCAACUACAGAGAGGAGCUAAGUCGUGAGGCUGCGCCAAUCUUAAAAAGUUGUCUCAGUUCGGAUUGUUCUCUGCAACUCGAGAACAUGAAGUUGGAAUCGCUAGUAAUCGCGGAACAGCAUGCCGCGGUGAAUACGUUCCCGGGUCUUGUACACACCGCCCGUCACACCAUGGGAGUUGGUUCUGCCUGACGGCGUUGAGGUAACCUGAGCAAUCAGGAGCCUGGCGACCACGGUAGGGUCAGCGACUGGGGCGAAGUCGUAACAAGGUAGCCGUAGGGGAACCUGCGGCUG
rnacentral:rRNA from 1 species